CCGUGCUAGGUGGGGCGCUAGCGGUGCCUUGUCACCCGCAAUCCGCUCUAGCGGGGCUGAACGCCCGUCCGAGGGUCGCGGCCUUCGGGGUCAGUACGUCGCGGGCGGCGUUGACGGCCAGGUCCCGCGCAAUGCGCGCCCGUGAACCAGGUCAGGUCCGGAAGGAAGCAGCCUUAAGCGGUAGCGGGCAUGUGCCGCGGAUUCGCCUGGCUCGAGCCAGCCACGACGGGAACGCCCGGGGACCGCUCUCGAAGUCGGGUUGCACGG
rfam:Actinobacteria bacterium 13_1_20CM_3_68_9 13_1_20cm_3_scaffold_5413, whole genome shotgun sequence.